UACGUAGGGGGCAAGCGUUGUCCGGAUUUAUUGGGCGUAAAGAGCGUGUAGGCGGUCAGAUAGGUCCGUUGUGAAAACUCGAGGCUCAACCUCGAGACGCCGAUGGAAACCAUCUGACUAGAGUCCGGAAGAGGAGAGUGGAAUUCCUGGUGUAGCGGUGAAAUGCGCAGAUAUCAGGAAGAACACCCGUGGCUAAGGCGGCUCUCUAGUACGGUACUGACGCUGAGACACGAAAGCGUGGGGAGCGAACAGG
rnacentral:rRNA from 1 species